rnacentral:tRNA from 1 species
GUUUUAGUAGUUUAUAUAAAACCUCGGUCUUGUAAAUCGAAAAAAGAUUAUUUUCUCUAAAACA